GGAAGAGCUUCUCUUAAUGUCAUCCCGAUUAAGGCAGAAUAUUUUGAGUGAUCAGUUCCUACCCCCAAGAAAACAGCCCAGCUACAGAAUAACUCCAGUUUGGCCUCCGGUCACAACUGAGACUUCAGUGAUCCAGUGAUGCUGUGAUUCUCCAGGACAAGAAACAUCCUGGGAGAACAAACAUCUGCUCAGUUCCUCAUUGUUCUUGGACUGAUUAACAUCUUGUUUGCCGGAGAUGUACUGAACUCUCUGCAAGCCUUCCGUUACACCUUGUUUAUCCCAAUGUGAACUAUUGAACCCUCUGCAAGUCAUCUGUUACAUUUGUUUCUCCCGAUGUACUGAAUAAAAGGUGUGGUAAGCUGCAGGCUUUGUCUUUGCUG
rnacentral:lncRNA from 1 species